AAAAUCAACUCCUCCUUGGUUGACGCUUCCAGAACACUAACGAAACAUACCGGAUGCAUGUUUCGCACUCCUGCCGGUAACUCGUUGGUUUGUAGAGCUGAAACACAAGAAGCCAGCAGAUUUGAAACGGGAGAUAAAUUCACACGAUCCCGAAAUAACCCAGCAUGAAUUGGAAAGAAUUUCCAAAUACAUUCGGCUUGCCCUCCGAAAUUCGGGUCGUAUCGAGGAAAAAGUAGUGAGAAUUGGUACAGGGUUUUACUGGCAUUUAGGCAUUGCCAACAUGCUCAAUGAAGCUUUAAGCGAUUACCCAAACAUGCGUCAGGUUUUUUUUAACCAUGAGCACGGACGGUGUAGUGCUGAGGCAGCCAGG